GACAACGGAAUGAAAAAAGCUGGGUGAGCUCUACAAAAACAAUUAAGUACCCGAAGGCGCUACGUCACCGGAACCAGGGUAUGGUGGGCGGGCCUUUGAAAGCUGCUCCAAAGACCAAGCCUGGAGUGACGGGAAAAAUCCUCCAUUCACCUUCCUAAGGGAGUGAGGUACGUGGUCCCAAACGGUGGGCUGGUUUCAUAGAGAGAACCCGUGUCCUAGGUCUCUCUGGACCCCGAGAAACUCCUCAGUCCCAGUUUCCUGUCUGUAGCCCUGAGAGAGACAGUAGUCAGCUGCGCAGCGGCGGUAACCGCAGCACGGAGACUCUGGAACCUCCCAGGUCUCCCACUGCCCAGACAGAUCUACUCACCUGAGAAUCAGAACUAUGAGCCCUGGAUGGUGAAGACAGGGUACGGUUGCCAAGGAUCCAGUAUGUCAGUGUUCAUCAAACCUUAUCUUGAAAAAACCAACCAUCAACAUCAUCAUCGUCAUCAUCAUCUUUGUCGUCAUCAUCAUCAUCACCACCACCUCUUUGUAGUGCCAAGUAGGAGCAAGGAACUGAAGUUGACUUUAUUGUUUUUUAUUUUAAUUUUUACUUUUGUAAAAAUGAUUCAUUUUAUAUAUAGAACUACUCUCUCUCUCUCUACACGUACAUCUGCAUAACUGCAUGCCAGAAGAGGACAUCAGAUCACAUUGUGCGGGGUUAUGAUUCACUAUGUAGUUGCUGGGAAUUGAACUCUGGACUGCUGGAAAAGCAGACAGUACUCUUAACCAGUGACCCAUCUCUCCAGCCCUAACUGCACUUGAAAAGACAUUUCAUAAUCUGAAGUGGAGAGAAAAUCCAAACUAAACUGAUGGUGGUAAAUCCUUUAUCUACUACUCAGAAAAUUCAUGGUGGAGAAAGAUCUUCUGAAUGUAUGCCAUGUAAUGAGUCAUUGUAUAUAUUGUAUAUUAAAGGAUUGCAGUGCUUAACUGCUGAGAAUUCUUUGUAGCAUUUUGGAAAACUUCGGUCUUUGAAAUACUACCAUACCUCACCUAUAUCACAAAAGUGUCUCUAAUAUCUUUUACCUCUGCAAACAUUUCAUCCCACAGUAUAUAAUAAAUGAGUAACUGUCAAUUUCAGGGUCAAUAAAUAUUCAUGAAU
ensembl:lncRNA